rnacentral:rRNA from 1 species
UACGUAGGGUGCGAGCGUUAAUCGGAAUUACUGGGCGUAAAGCGUGCGCAGGCGGUUAUGCAAGACAGAUGUGAAAUCCCCGGGCUCAACCUGGGAACUGCAUUUGUGACUGCAUGGCUGGAGUGCGGCAGAGGGGGAUGGAAUUCCGCGUGUAGCAGUGAAAUGCGUAGAUAUGCGGAGGAACACCGAUGGCGAAGGCAGCUCGCUGGGACGGUACUGACGCUGAGGCGCGAAAGCGUGGGGAGCAAACAGG